rnacentral:rRNA from 1 species
UACAGAGGUGGCAAGCGUUGUUCGGAAUUACUGGGCGUAAAGGGCGCGUAGGCGGUUCGUUAAGUCCUGUGUGAAAUCCCCCGGCUCAACUGGGGAACUGCACAGGAAACUAGCGGGCUUGAGUUCGGGAGAGGGAAGCGGAAUUCCGGGUGUAGCGGUGAAAUGCGUAGAUAUCUGGAGGAACACCGGUGGCGAAGGCGGCAUCCUGGACCGAGAUUGACGCUGGGGCGCGAAAGCCAGGGGAGCAAACGGG